UGCUGCGGCGUGCUGCUGGAC
rnacentral:misc_RNA from 1 species